rnacentral:rRNA from 1 species
AUUGAACGCUGGUGGCAGGCUUAACACAUGCAAGUCGAGCGGGGUGAUGGUGCUUGCACUAUCACUUAGCGGCGGACGGGUGAGUAAUGCUUAGGAAUCUGCCUAUUAGUGGGGGACAACAUCUCGGAAGGGAUGCUAAUACCGCAUACGUCCUACGGGAGAAAGCAGGGGAUCACUUGUGACCUUGCGCUAAUAGAUGAGCCUAAGUCGGAUUAGCUAGUUGGUGGGGUAAAGGCCUACCAAGGCGACGGACUGUAGCGGGUCUGAGAGGAUGAACCGCCACACUGGGACUGAGACACGGCCCAGACUCCUACGGGAGGCAGCAGUGGGGGAAUAUGGACAAUGGGGGGAACCCUGAUCCAGCCAUGCCGCGUGUGUGAAGAAGGCCUUAUGGUUGUAAAGCACUUUAAGCGAGGAGGAGGCUCUUUUGGUUAAUACCCAAGAUGAGUGGACGUUACUCGCAGAAUAAGCACCGGCUAACUCUGUGCCAGCAGCCGCAGUAA